rnacentral:rRNA from 1 species
GUCCUUUUGAAUUUAAUUUAAGGUUUAACCUGCCCACUGAUUUCUUGAAGGGCCGCAGUAAUUUGACUGUGCAAAGGUAGCAUAAUCAUUAGUUUUUUAAUUAAAAGCUUGUAUGAAGGGUUGGACGAGGUAAAUUCUGUCUCUAAAUAAAUUAAUUUAGAAUUUAAUUUUUAAGUUAAAAAGCUUAAAUAGAUUUAAAAGACGAGAAGACCCUAUAGAUCUUUAUAUUAAAUUUAUUAAUUUUAAUUAAGAUUUUUUUAUUUUUUAAUAUUUUUAAUAUUUUAUUGGGGUAAUAAAAAGAUUGAAUUAAUUCUUUUUUUUAUAUUUUACAUUUAUAUAUGAAUAUAUGAUCCAAUUUUAUUGAUUAAAAGAUUAAGUUACCUUAGGGAUAACAGCGUAAUUUUUUUAGAGAGUUCAUAUCGAUAAAAAAGUUUGCGACCUCGAUGUUGGAUUAAAAAUUAUUUUAGGUGCAGAAGCUUAAAAUUUUUGGUCUGUUCGACCAUUAAAUUUUU